GGGGGAGACGUUUCAUCUAAUUUGGCAUCUUCGUCAUACUACCUAUUAAACUACUCUGAUUUCCGGUGUCCGUGCACACAUCCGUCUGUGUUUACACUGUCCCCGGCCUUGCAAAGAGAGACUGUUAAAAAAACUCUUGGAAAGGAAUGAAAUUGACUGAUUAUCCCUGUUGCUCUCAUAAUUAUGCGGCGAGGUUGACGCAAGAGCCAUCAGCUUGUCAUAAACUGUUCCUUCUCUUCCUGAAUAUAAUCGUUUAUAUUCAUCUCUUUGUCCCACCCAGGCACCCACCUCCCUUCAACCAAUUUACAGCAUUUAAUGUUGAGGAAUAUUACUGCAAUAAAAGGCUCUUGUUCAAAAGGCCUAAUUCA